UUGUGGGUGGGGGGGAAGCGGAGCGGGGGGGGGGGGAGAAUUAAAAAAAUUGUGGGGGGGGUUUUUUUUUUCCCCCCUUUUUGGGCCCUUGGGAAAUAAACCCCGAAGGGGAAAAUUUUGUGUUUUAAAUCCGGGAAUAAAUUUUUUUUCAAGGAAAAACUUUUUUGCCCCCCUUUGAAGGGGCCCCGGCCUUUGAUUAAUUUAAUUUGGUAGGGGAAAUGGCCUUCCCAAGAUUUUGAUCAAUAGCUGAUUUUGAGAGGAAGGUUAGCCCCCAUUGGGACUUAGACCCGGCCCAAACUUCUACGGGAAGCCAGCAGUGGGGAAUCUUGCACAAUGGAGGAAACUCUGAUGCAGCGAUGCCGCGUGAGUGAAGAAGGCCCCUUGGGUUGUAAAGCUCUUUCGUCGGGGAAGAAAAAUGACUGUACCCGAAUAAGAAGGUCCGGCUAACUUCGUGCCAGCAGCCGCGGUAAUACGAAGGGACCUAGCGUAGUUCGGAAUUACUGGGCUUAAAGAGUUCGUAGGUGGUUGAAAAAGUUGGUGGUGAAAUCCCAGAGCUUAACUCUGGAACUGCCAUCAAAACUUUUCAGCUAGAGUAUGAUAGAGGAAAGCAGAAUUUCUAGUGUAGAGGUGAAAUUCGUAGAUAUUAGAAAGAAUACCAAUUGCGAAGGCAGCUUUCUGGAUCAUUACUGACACUGAGGAACGAAAGCAUGGGUAGCGAAGAGGAUUAGAUACCCUCGUAGUCCAUGCCGUAAACGAUGUGUGUUAGACGUUGGAAAUUUAUUUUCAGUGUCGCAGCGAAAGCAAUAAACACACCGCCUGGGGAGUACGACCGCAAGGUUAAAACUCAAAUGAAUUGACGGGGACCCGCACAAGUAGUGGAGCAUGUGGUUUAAUUCGAAGAUACGCGCAGAACCUUACCAACACUUGACAUGUUCGUCGCGACUCUAAGAGAUUAGAGUUUUCGGUUCGGCCGGACGAAACACAGGUGCUGCAUGGCUGUCGUCAGCUCGUGUCGUGAGAUGUUGGGUUAAGUCCCGCAACGAGCGCAACCCUCACUUUUAGUUGCCAUCAUUUAGUUGGGCACUCUGAAAGAACUGCCAGUGAUAAGCUGGAGGAAGGUGGGGAUGACGUCAAGUCCUCAUGGCCCUUACGUGUUGGGCUACACACGUGCUACAAUGGUAUCUACAACAGGAAGCGAGACGGCAACGUUAAGCAAAUCCCGAAAAGAUACCUCAGUUCGGAUUGCACUCUGCAACUCGAGUGCAUGAAGCUGGAAUUACUAGUAAUCGUGGUGCAGCGGCCUUCGGAUUUGCGGUCGG
rnacentral:rRNA from 1 species